GGAGAGAUGGCCGAGAGGCUGAAGGCGCACGCUUGGAAAGCGUGUUUACUUAACGGUAACGUGGGUUCGAAUCCCACUCUCUCCGCCA
rnacentral:tRNA from 2 species